AACGAACGCUGGCGGCAUGCCUAACACAUGCAAGUCGAACGAUUGCCUUCGGGUGAUAGUGGCGCACGGGUGCGUAACGCGUGGGAAUCUGCCCUUAGGUUCGGAAUAACAGCUGGAAACGGCUGCUAAUACCGGAUGAUAUCGCGAGAUCAAAGAUUUAUCGCCUGAGGAUGAGCCCGCGUUGGAUUAGGUAGUUGGUGGGGGAAAGGCCUACCAAGCCGACGAUCCAUAGCUGGUCUGAGAGGAUGAUCAGCCACACUGGGACUGAGACACGGCCCAGACUCCUACGGGAGGCAGCAGUGGGGAAUAUUGGACAAUGGGCGCAAGCCUGAUCCAGCAAUGCCGCGUGAGUGAUGAAGGCCCUAGGGUUGUAAAGCUCUUUUACCCGGGAAGAUAAUGACUGUACCGGGAGAAUAAGCCCCGGCUAACUCCGUG
rnacentral:rRNA from 1 species